rnacentral:lncRNA from 1 species
CUAAUAUUAAGUGAUUUGAUUGUCGAUGUGUUGGGAUUAAAAUUUUAACACUGCAACGAUUAUAUUUGUAGAACUGUCUUAACAUUAAGGACCUGUUCACUGUUGUGGUUUCCUUAAUAACGUCCCUUUUGAAAAGUGAUUGCCUGUGCUUCACUAAUUUCUAUAACCAAGCUGGAGUGGAAUCCAAAAGAAAAGGACUAUGUAUAUCACGUGGUGAGUGCGAUCUGCGAGUGGACUGUGGCCUUUGGUUUUAUUUUCUACUUUCUAACAUUCAUCCAAGAUUUCCAGAGUGUCACCCUAAGGAUAUCAACAGAAAUCAAUGGUGAUAUUUGAAGAAAGGAGAAUCCUAUGUCAUUCAAUGAAUGUCACAGACAGUUUUUAGAAGUGAUACAGAGGAUGGACAGGGUUUUGAGGCCAUCCUGACCUGGAUGCAUCUGUGGCACAUCCAGAACUUGAAUUUCAUUAAGAAUUCCUGGUAGUUGUACUAUCUACAAAGGUAUGUUUUCUUAGAGAAUGUAGGGCAUUUAUCACACGGUAGCAAUGUUUUUAUACUUUUCUAACACACUUUUUAUAUUAACAAAUUCAAAAAUGGAGAAGAUAAGGCAUUACAGAAUAUGGAGAGCUCUUAUUUUUGUAUAGAUUUUGUCCUUGUGUGUGGAUGAUCUAUGGAAAUACGCUGUUAGGAAUUUAAGUUUAAUACAUUUAUUAAUAAGUAAAAUCAGGGAAUAUUCAUUUUAAAAUUUAACUUUAGAGGAUAAACUGCAUAACUUUUUUAUCAUAAGAGAAUUUACAAAAUUCAAUUUGUAGUGGUCACAUACUUAAGUCUUAAAGAUUUAGAUAAUAAAUGAACACUAAGAUACCCUGUUUUUUAACUG